rnacentral:rRNA from 1 species
UGAGCAAUCUGCCCUUCUCAUCGGAAUAAGCGUUGGAAACGACGUCUAAUGCCGAAUACGACCUCCUUUCGCAUGAUCGGAGGUGGAAAGCUCCGGCGGAGAAGGAUGAGCUCGCGGCCUAUCAGCUAGUUGGUGGGUAAUGGCCCACCAAGGCGACGACGGGUAGCCGGCCUGAGAGGGUGACCGGCCACACUGGGACUGAGACACGGCCCAGACCUCCUACGGGAGGNAGCG